ACCUGGGUGGCUCAGUCAGUUGGGCAUCUGACUUUGGUUCAGGUCAUGAUCUCGCAGUUUGUGGGUUCGAGUCCCACGUUGGGCU
rfam:Felis catus isolate Cinnamon breed Abyssinian chromosome B1, whole genome shotgun sequence.